AGAGUUGCUUGAUAGCGAAGAAAAUGCGGGCGGAAUCUUCGGGUCGGAGUAACGACGACAAUGGUCGGACGAAUUGUCUAAAAAUGGCACUACUCUGUUGCACGGAAAUUAUCUCGAUGAAUAGAAACGCUUUUGUGCAAAUUAUAAAGUAGUAUGCAAGGUGUAAAGCAGAGCGCAUGCUGCGUCUCCUUCAA